UGUUUGUUGUUCUGCAAUUGUGAGUCGGCUCGUGAGUCGUGACUCGUGAGGUUUGGAGAAUGAGAAGGCAUCAUCAACUUCUGCUUCAGCUCAAAUGCCUGCGCCUGCGCUUCGGGAGCUUCCCUACCAAUGUCGAGAGAACACCGGCAAUAUCAAUGGCUGUAGCUAAUUUUUCAUCUUCAACCGAAUCCCAAGCUGAGGCUCAGCUAUCGCCCAAUCUAAUUAGGAUCAUGGAACAGAGGUUUUCGGCCAUCGAAUACCGAACUGCUUUUCUUCAAAAGGUUGUGAACCAGCCAGAAGCUUCCCCAGCUGAGUUUGCUAGAGCUAAUAAGGAGCUUCGCAAGCUCAGACCUUGUAUGGACCUCAUUACUCACUUAAGGUCCAAGCAGAAGGAGAUUUCUAGUUUGAGGUCACUCAUUUCUGAAUCUUCUGAUGAUAAAGAAAUGCUUACUAUGGCAACUGAUGAACUGAACCAGGUCUUAGAAGAGGAGAAAACAGUUCACAAUUUCUUGUUGAAGUCACUCCUUCCUAAAGAUGAUGCUGAUGAGAGGGACUGCAUUUUGGAGGUCAGAGCAGGCACUGGUGGGGACGAGGCCUCUUUGUUUGCCAUGGACAUAUUCAAAAUGUACGAGAGAUUCUCGCAAAAGAAAGGCUGGAAGUUUGAAGUGGUAGAUGUUACAGAAUCAGAUCUUAAAGGUUAUAAGGAAGCUAGUGCGGCCAUCUCAGGGGCUGAUGUCUAUGGGAAACUUAAAUUUGAGAGUGGAAUUCACAGGGUGCAGCGAGUUCCUGUAACCGAGAAGUCUGGACGCGUUCACACAAGUGCUGUUUCUGUUGCUAUACUACCUCAGGCUGACGAGGUAGAUGUGCAGCUGAGGAGUGAAGAUUUGAAAAUUGAUACAUACAGGUCUGGUGGUGCAGGUGGACAGCACGCUAAUACCACUAACAGUGCUGUGAGGAUAACUCAUAUUCCAUCCGGUUUGACUGUGAACAUACAAGAUGAACGGUCCCAACACAUGAACAAGGCCAAGGCUCUGAAGGUUCUAUGUGCGAAGCUAUAUGAAAUAGAGAGGUCUAGAGUUCAUAGCAAUAGAUCAAAACUUCGGUCAGAACAGAUUGGUAGUGGGGACAGAUCUGAACGAAUUCGGACGUACAACUUUCCUCAAGGGCGUGUCACUGACCACCGUGUCAGCAUAACUUGUCAUGCGAUAGACGAUGUAAUGCAGGGUGAUAAUUUGGAUAUCUUUAUUGAUGCUCUACUAUUGCAGCAAGAAAUGGAUGCAAUUGCUCAUUUCAGCUCUUCCCAGUGAUUCUAUUAUACCAGUUUGCCCACUAAGGGUAAUUAAUACACAAGUACUAUGUUUAUCAAUCUUUAGCAUCAUAAUUUGUAUGAUAUACUCAUUGGAACAUUUUUUAAUCUUCUCUAAAGGUAAGUGGCCGCAUCAUUAUACAUGUUGUGAGAGAGAGAAGACAUACUCUAUGGUGUACGAACAGAUUGUCUCCGAAAAAACCAACUGAGAAUCUGCUGAAGAGAAUCAAACAAAGCCCACCUGAAAAGAUUCUUGUGUUGACUUGGCCUGCCAUGGAGGUUGGAUCCUAGAUCCGAAUGCUCAUGAAUAUUUGUCAAUAU